rnacentral:piRNA from 1 species
UCUCUUAGAAGGAACACUUCAUUUUUGCU